UCAAAUGUUAAAGUAGGCGGGUUCUUAAAACACGCAGCCUUUCAAAAUGAAAUUCUUCUCCAAGCGCGGCAUUCCAAAAAGCCCGUAGAAAGAUAAAAUCUCUAGUUCCGGAGACACAUCCCUCUUUAUCUUCAUCGUCCUCCUCCCUCACUCCUUUUCUCGCCCGCAACCCCUUUGCUUCCUUUGCUUCAUGGUGGGUCGAGGCCUCAAUUCAGAUAGCCCAUUCGAGUCUGUGACGGUGUCGCUUGACCUUAAUUUGCGCGGCAUUAAUUCACUAGACAACGCUUCCAUAGUCAGCCGCCGCGUGAUGGGCUUCUGCCAAUUACGAUUGGUUUUGGAUUACAGAACCAGAUCGGGGAAGCUAAGGUAUCAUUUGCUAUGGGAAUCUGAGUUUCUAUUAGUGAGGUGGAGUCUUUGUAUGAGCUAUAGAAGUAACUAAGCAGCUCUAUAGUUAAAGAUGGGCUUAUACACAAGUUCUUGGAGUGGAUUUGGAAAAGGUGGCAGAAAUGGCAAUGACAUCAUCCGCUUUGAAAGUGGAAGAGCUCAAGCUUGUUGUGUUUCAAAAUAGCAGUAAGCAGAGCCUCUUUUUUGACAGGAUGACAGGAUUGAUGAAGAAGAGUGGAAGGAAUACGUCACACAAAACCCUUCUCUACUGGAAAACAUGAUUCUUCCAUACUUGAUGCAGAUAUCUCUAGCAUUUCCCAGCUUUUUGCUGCAUACAAAGGCAGAGGAGUAUCAGUUGCCGAAAACUACACAUAAUUAAAGCCAGAAGUUCUCUAUGCAUGACUGCAUGCAAGAAGAUAAAAAAUAUUGAGAAUCAUGCACAGGCAAAAAGUCCAGUUACUUACCAGCAAUGCCUUUGGACUUUGCCUUCUUCACAAGAGUUCCAAUGAGUAUCUAUCAUACUUAUAUAGUUGUUUGCAUUGCUCAAAUAGUUAAGAGUUCUGCACAUAUGGGUUCUUUUAUCGUUCUAGACUCUGUUUCGUAUUUCACAAUUUUUAUGAGUAUUCAUUAAUGUUCAAGUGUAUAGAAGACCAAAUAUUAAAAGGCCUAGAAAGGCUUUUAUUUGUAGAUUUAUAUAUUUAUAUUUUUUU